rnacentral:rRNA from 1 species
UGGGGAAUAUUGCACAAUGGGCGCAAGCCUGACCGAGCGACGCCGCGUGGAGGAUGAAGGCCUUCGGGUUGUAAACUCCUGUCGAGGGGGAGGAUGGCGCAAGCUUGACCGAUCCCUGGAGGAAGCACGGGCUAAGUUCGUGCCAGCAGCCGCGGUAAGACGAACCGUGCGAACGUUAUUCGGAAUCACUGGGCUUAAAGCGCGUGUAGGCGGAUGGGAACGUCGGUAGUUGAAAGCCCCCGGCUCAACCGGGGAAGUGGUGCCGAAACGACCCGUCUGGAGGGACGUAGGGGGACCUGGAACUUCCGGUGGAGCGGUGAAAUGCGUUGAGAUCGGAAGGAACGCCCGUGGCGAAAGCGAGGUCCUGGACGUCUACUGACGCUGAGACGCGAAAGCUAGGGGAGCAAAC